AGCAACUCACUCUCAGCCUGUCCCCUCCCCAGGGUGUGAAUGAGGACAGUGGCUUGGCAUAAGGAGUAGCUGGCAUCCAAGCCCCCACAGACCUCUCCUGGACUGUAGCUGACACAAAGAUGAGAUGUUGGCCACCGUCACUUCUAUUUUGAUCAAAAUUGCCAGUCUAGAGGGCAAGUCCCUGCAUGAGAAGACAGCAAGCAACUUCUGCCUUCCUGUCCACAGGAGAUAAAUGAGAUAAAUGCGGUUCUCACUCAUCAAAGAAGCCCCUCUUUACAAUAGAUAGAGACCAUUGAAGAAGACACAGCUGGUACAGAGGAGUAGAACCUGUUGUGGGAUGUCCAGCCUGAUCGAUACAUCUACAAUACAACUCCUACAUCUUAAACCUCAAGAAACAUCGCAGAACAGGAGCCAGAAAGACUGCAAGAGCCAAAGGACCAGGAAAACUGCUGACUGGGUGUGUCUCCUAGACAUGACAGGGAAGCUUCCCGUGAUACCCAAAGACAUGGCUACCGAAUAAAAGACGACACCAACGGACACUCUAAAACGGAAGGGGGAGUCUCACAGGGCUUCAUCUGAAAACCAACUAUAGGCAACCAGUGUCAACUGCAAGAUGGAAUAUUAGUCCUUCCAUGGGUGAGUCACCUAACGGAUUUUCUUCCUGAAAUCAUGUGCAUACAUAUGUAAUAAUAACAAUUAAAGGAAAAGGUCAUGAAUCUGAGAGAGAACAAGAAGGGGCAAAGGGGAGACGAAGGGAAGAGAAAGAAGAGAGGAGUGAUGUAGCUGAAUUUUAAAAUCUCACCUUUUUAAAUUACAAAAUAAAUCUUUGGAAAAAAAGAAACUAUUCAAGGAUACAUGAAAAUUAGUUAUGGCAGUUUAUUUUGGGGCAGGAGCCAGGAGCUAGACCACUUGGAGAAUGCCUGUAUUCCUUUUGUGUGUGAUGUAAAUACACAGCAUCAAAACCAUGACACCGCCUUGUCUAUCUCCCUCAGGAAGCCACCUGCUCCCUGAAUCAAGGGACUGUGUGUUGCACUCAGUCAUCUCUUCAAACCUGAGCUCAAGAUCUGAAGUAGCCAUUGUGGCUGGUUGGGCUUUACUGGAGAGUAAAUUAAUGGAUGAACAAAUGCAGUAUAGGACAAUAGGAAGGAUGAAGCUUGGGUUAGGACUGAAAGGGACUUCUUAUCUGCAACUCAAGGCAGCUUGCAUCUAUCCACCUAUCCAUCUACCCAUCCAUCUCAUGCUUACACGCUGAUACUUGCUUUUGAACCCAGAGGGUGACAUAAUCCCUAAAUGGAGGAACUCUUACUCCAAACAAUCUGUGUGCUGUUCUUCAUUGGGGGCAAGUCUCAAUUGAUUCCAGCACUCCCUAAGCCACUCUGGGGAAUACAGAGAUGAUGAAGACACAGCCCUCGCUUGGCGCCUAGUAUUCACUCUCCUGAUCUGUAAAACGGGGGCAGGCAUCUUCCCCACACCAAAAUUGUGGUGUUGUAAUGAUGAACUAAAGUGCUCCCCCAGAGGGGUCCUGACUGGGACCCCGGGCUCGCAUCAGAUUAUUCUUACGUGAGAAUCUCAGCCCACCCUGUAGGAAGCUGGAUGCAUCCCCACAACCCAGUACACAGAGUCCCACUUCUCUGAGCUGUAUCACAAGGGCCACCCUUCUGGGUAGGAAGAGCGCUUGCUGCAGGGCACCUGACGUACACCUAGGUCCCAGCAGACUGCCUGGCUAAAAGUAGACAUCAGUGGGUUUGCAAAAGGCAUAAUGGGAAAAAACCUGAACAUUUUUAGUGAAGUGAGAACCGUUCCACCACUGCAAAAGUACUAAUAAAACACACGGUGAAUUAACUGAAGCAGUGGCUGACCAGCAGGUCCCUUCAAGAUCAAAAUGGAGAGCUAAAGUCAGGGGACACUCUCCCUGCCAAACAGCAAAUGGACUUGAAGGGGACCAGUGAACAGAGAGAAGCACAUAUGGAUGAAGAUAUUUUGUCUCAGCCAAUGCCUCAGGGUGGCCUUUUGUCUCCGCUACAUAUUUGACCCAUUUGGACUCAGGACCAAAGGAUUCACACCAAUGUGCCUUGAACCCAGAAAGGAAAGAGAAGCUCUGAGCAUCUGACCAUAAACACUGUCACACCGACUCCCUAGGCUUUGAACAAAGGAAAGACCAGGACACCUGUCAUUUCUCAGUGGGUUCAGGGUCUCCCAUGUUUAACCUAGAUCUACUGUUGUUACCAGCUGGGGUUACCCCCACUGCUAACACUUGAGACCUAGCCCUCCCCUGCAGCAGCCUGGGAGACCCCUGCGAUCUCUGCUUUGUCUGCCUUGAGUGAUUGCAGGGCACUAGAGCUCCCUCGCACCUGGCUUCCUUCAGAGCUGGCUUCUCGUUGCUGUCUGGGUAGUUAGCACUGUGUAAUUUAGUUUGCCGGUGUCUCUGCAAGCUUAUUUGAAAACCAUGGAAGACUGCUUACAGAAAAUUAAGCUUCAUUUUCUUUAAGCAUCCAGCCAACAGUGCAGGCAGGGGAUGGUGAUGUGGAGAUAACUGGUUUCUGCAUAUGUAAACAUGAUGCAUUUAGCAAAUUACGCAGACUUCACACUUCAGAGCAUUGAAGAAAACAAAGGUGUCUUCCAGGACAACUUCAGCGCAAUAGAGCCAUUCUGAAAGGGAUGCAGAAUUAUUGGCUUGUAAGAAGAAUGGAGCUCAGACAGGGAUGGAAAAUAACAGUUUAUAGUGUGAAGCAUGGGCAGAAACAAGAAUUGGAACAGGUCUAAUUUUAAGUGGUUUUAUGGCAACUCUAAGGACUCCUAGGAAUUAUAGAUUGUACGUGUUUUGAGAUUGAAUUCACAGUAGGAAGAGGUUGUACACUUCAGACUCAAUUCCACUAUGACUCCUUGAGCUUCACACAAUUUCCCAGUACAUGUUUUUCUCCUUGGGCCCAGAGAGAUAAAUUCUAGGUCUGCCCUAAGCUAAAAAGCAUUUUGAUAGGAAAAGCAGUCCUGCAAUCUAUGGGAUUUUGUUUCCAUUCUCCACCAGGACCCGUUACCCCAGUCCCUUCUCCUACCUCAUCACCCACAAAUUAUGCCUGGAAGUGUAAUUAAAAGCUUUGC